rnacentral:siRNA from 1 species
AUAUCCUCGAUGUUAUCUCGAUGC